rnacentral:rRNA from 1 species
CCUACGGGAGGCUGUAGUGAGGAAUAUUGGUCAAUGGGCGCGAGCCUGAACCAGCCAAGUCGCGUGAGGGAAGACGGCCCUACGGGUUGUAAACCUCUUUUGCCGGGGAGCAACGGGCGCCACGUGUGGCGCCACUGAGAGUACCCGGAGAAAAAGCAUCGGCUAACUCCGUGCCAGCAGCCUCGGUAAUACGGCGGGUGCGAGCGUUAUCCGGAUUGAUUGGGUUUAAAGGGAGCGUAGAUGGGUUGUUAAGUCGGUUGUGAAAGUGGGCGGCUCAACCGUACAAUUGCAAGUGAUACUGGCAGUCUUGAGUACAGGUGAGGUAGGCGGAAUGCGUGGUGUAGCGGUGAAAUGCUUAGAGAUCACGAAGAACUCCGAUUGCGAAGGCAGCUUACGAAACGGCCACUGACAUUGAUGCUCGAAAGUGUGGGUAUCAAACAGGAUUAGAUACCCGGGUAGUC